AGCAGCCGCGGUAAUUCCAGCUCCAAUAGCGUAUAUUAAAGUUGUUGCAGUUAAAAAGCUCGUAGUUGAAUUUCGGGGUUAGUAGGUUGGUCAUGCCUCUGGUAUGUACUGAUCUCACUGAUUCCUCCUUCCUUAUGAACCGUAAUGCCAUUAAUUUGGUGUUGCGGGGAAUUUGGACUGUUACUUUGAAAAAAUUAGAGUGUUUAAAGCAAGCUAACGCUUGAAUACAUUAGCAUGGAAUAAUGAAAUAGGACGUUCGAUCUUAUUUUGUUGGUUUCUAGGAUUGACGUAAUGAUUAAUAGGGAUAGUUGGGGGCAUUAGUAUUCAAUUGUCAGAGGUGAAAUUCUUGGAUUUAUUGAAGACUAACUACUGCGAAAGCAUUUGCCAAGGAUGUUUUCAUUAAUCAAGAACGAAAGUUAGGGGAUCGAAGACGAUCAGAUACCGUCGUAGUCUUAACCAUAAACUAUGCCGACUAGGGAUCGGAUGAUGUUAAUUUUUUAAUGACUCAUUCGGCGCCUUACG
rnacentral:rRNA from 1 species